AGAGUUAAAUAGUACGUGAAAUUGUUGAAAGGGAAACGAUUGAAGUCAGUCAUGCUAGUGGGGAAUCAACUUGAUGGCGUGUGGGUUCUCUCGCAUACUUUCCGGUGCACUUCCUCACUCGGCAGGUUAGCAUCAAUUUCGGUUGUCAUAAAAAAUUUGAGGGAAUGUGGCUUUCCUUCGGGAAAGUGUUAUAGACCUUGAUCUAUGUGGUGACCGGGAUUGAGGAUUGCAGCGGAUACCAUUCGUGGCUUGUCACCUGGCUUCUGACGGUUACCCCGCUUUCGAUAGCUCGCUAACGUUAGUGGGACUCGAUCGUCUAGAUGUUAGACUGAUUCUAUUUCGCUAAGGAUGCUGACGUAAUGGCUUUAAACGACC
rnacentral:rRNA from 1 species